ACGGUAACAGGUCUUCGGAUGCUGACGAGUGGCGAACGGGUGAGUAAUACAUCGGAACGUGCCCGAGAGUGGGGGAUAACGAAGCGAAAGCUUUGCUAAUACCGCAUACGAUCUCAGGAUGAAAGCAGGGGACCGCAAGGCCUUGCGCUCACGGAGCGGCCGAUGGCAGAUUAGGUAGUUGGUGGGAUAAAAGCUUACCAAGCCGACGAUCUGUAGCUGGUCUGAGAGGACGACCAGCCACACUGGGACUGAGACACGGCCCAGACUCCUACGGGAGGCAGCAGUGGGGAAUUUUGGACAAUGGGCGCAAGCCUGAUCCAGCCAUGCCGCGUGCAGGAUGAAGGCCUUCGGGUUGUAAACUGCUUUUGUACGGAACGAAAAGACUCUGGUUAAUACCUGGGGUCCAUGACGGUACCGUAAGAAUAAGCACCGGCUAACUACGUGCCAGCAGCCGCGGUAAUACGUAGGGUGCAAGCGUUAAUCGGAAUUACUGGGCGUAAAGCGUGCGCAGGCGGUUAUAUAAGACAGAUGUGAAAUCCCCGGGCUCAACCUGGGAACUGCAUUUGUGACUGUAUAGCUAGAGUACGGUAGAGGGGGAUGGAAUUCCGCGUGUAGCAGUGAAAUGCGUAGAUAUGCGGAGGAACACCGAUGGCGAAGGCAAUCCCCUGGACCUGUACUGACGCUCAUGCACGAAAGCGUAGGGAGCAAACAGGAUUAGAUACCCUGGUAGUCCACGCCCUAAACGAUGUCAACUGGUUGUUGGGUCUUCACUGACUCAGUAACGAAGCUAACGCGUGAAGUUGACCGCCUGGGA
rnacentral:rRNA from 1 species